rnacentral:rRNA from 1 species
GACGAACGCUGGCGGCGUGCUUAACACAUGCAAGUCGAGCGGAAAGGCUCCUUCGGGGGUACUCGAGCGGCGAACGGGUGAGUAACACGUGAGUAAUCUGCCCUGCGCUCUGGGAUAGCCACCGGAAACGGUGAUUAUUACCGGAUAUGACCGCUACACGCAUGUGUUGGUGGUGGAAAGUUUUUCGGCGCAGGAUGUGCUCGCGGCCUAUCAGCUUGUUGGUGAGGUAAUGGCUCACCAAGGCUUUGACGGGUAGCCGGCCUGAGAGGGUGACCGGUCACACUGGGACUGAGACACGGCCCAGACUCCUACGGGAGGCAGCAGUGGGGAAUAUUGGACAAUGGGCGGAAGCCUGAUCCAGCAACGCCGCGUGAGGGAUGACGGCCUUCGGGUUGUAAACCUCUUUUAGUAGGGAAGAAGCCUUCGGGUGACGGUACCUGCAGAAAAAGGACCGGCUAACUACGUGCCAGCAGCCGCCGUAAGAC